rnacentral:rRNA from 1 species
CCUACGGGAGGCAGCAGUGAGGAAUAUUGGUCAAUGGGCGCGAGCCUGAACCAGCCAAGUAGCGUGAAGGAUGACUGCCCUACGUGUUGUAAACUUCUUUUAUAAAGGAGUAAAGUGAGGCUCGUGUGCCUUUUUGUAUGUACUUUAUGCAUAAGGGUCGGCUAAGUCCGUGCCAGCAGCCGCGGUAAUACGGAGGAUCCGAGCGUUAUCCGGAUUUAUUGGGUUUAAAGGGAGCGUAGAUGGGUUGUUAAGUCAGUAGUGAAAGUUUGCGGCUCAACCGUAAAAUUGCAAUUGAUACUGGCAGUCUAGAGUACAGUUGAGGUAGGCGGAAUUCGUGGUGUAGCGGUGAAAUGCGUAGAUAUCACGAAGAACUCCGAUUGCGAAGGCAGCUUACUAAACUGCCACUGACAUUGAUGCUCGAAAGUGUGGGUAUCAAACAGGAUUAGAUACCCUUGUAGUC